GUUUCUCGCUUCGGCAGCACAUAUACUGAAAUUGGAACAAUACAGAGAAGAUUAGCAUCGCCCCUGCACAAGGAUGACACACAAAUUCAGGGUGAUGUUCAAAAUACAU